rnacentral:rRNA from 1 species
AACGAACGCUGGCGGCAUGCCUAACACAUGCAAGUCGAACGAAGGCUUCGGCCUUAGUGGCGCACGGGCGCGUAACGCGUGGGAAUCUGCCCUUUGGUUCGGAAUAACAGCUGGAAACGGCUGCUAAUACCGGAUGAUGACGAAAGUCCAAAGAUUUAUCGCCAGAGGAUGAGCCCGCGUUGGAUUAGGUAGUUGGUGGGGUAAAGGCCUACCAAGCCGACGAUCCAUAGCUGGUCUGAGAGGAUGAUCAGCCACACUGGGACUGAGACACGGCCCAGAAUCCUACGGGAGGCAGCAGUGGGGAAUAUAGGACAAUGGGCGGAAGCCUGAUCCAGCAAUGCCGGGUGAGUGAUGAAGGCAGUAGGGUAGUAAAGCGCUUUUAACCGGGAAGAUAAUGACUGUACCGGGAGAAUAAGCCCCGGCUAACUCCGUG